rnacentral:rRNA from 1 species
GACAGAGGGUGCAAACGUUGUUCGGAAUGACUGGGCGUAAAGGGCGCGUAGGCGGCUCGUGAAGUCGGGUGUGAAAGCCCGGGGCUCAACCCCGGAACGGCAUCCGAUACUGGCGGGCUUGAGACCGGGAGAGGAGGGUGGAAUACCCAGUGUAGAGGUGAAAUUCGUAGAUAUUGGGUGGAACACCGGUGGCGAAAGCGGCUCUCUGGCCCGGAUCUGACGCUGAGGCGCGAAAGCGUGGGGAGCAAACAGG